rnacentral:lncRNA from 1 species
CGAGGAAAAACAUGCACAAACUUGUUGAUUUCCAUCAAAUAUUGGCCAAGUGGGAAUGGAAAUGACUGCAGUCUGCGAUCGUGCCGAUACACGUACAGUAGGAGAAGAGAGGAAGAGGCCUCUUACAGUCACCUGGUUUGGAGUCCUGUGAGACGGUCAUGCACUCACCUGGUGGUUUGCCAGAUCAACAAAAGAAGGACUUGCUUGGUGUGUUUGUUGUCAUUAAUUUGAUGCAGGUCAUUUCCAGAACACUGCGUAAUGAUUGAAUAUGUCUUUUUGUGUGGCACCAGUAAAUGGUAAACAUGUUUGUUUAUUAUCCUUACUGUUAUUAUUAUUUUUGAUGCAGCCUCGUUUGUAUAAAAUGUGACGUGAGGACUGUGGAGCACGCAGAAAGGGGAAGAAGUCGGCGUUUAGUGGACUCAGGUCAGCGUGAUGCUCCGCUGAGGAUCCAGAUCUGUUUGUGGCUUAAAAGCAGAAGACUGCGCUGGAAUCCGGCCCACCACGUAAACGUGUGUGAGGGAGCAGCGGGUUGGAGGAGCAACGGGUUGGAGGAGCAGCGGGUUGGAGGAGCAACGGGUUGGAGGAGCAGCGGGUUGGAGGAGCAACAGGAGCAGCGGGUUGGAGGAGCAACGGGUUGGAGGAGCAGCGGGUUGGAGGAGCAACGGGUUGGAGGAGCAGCGGGUUGGAGGAGCAGCGGGUUGGAGGAGCAACAGGAGCAGCGGGUUGGAGGAGCAACAGGAGCAGCGGGUUGGAGGAGCAGCGGGUUGGAGGAGCAACGGGAGCAGCGGGUUGGAGGAGCAACGGGUUGGAGGAGCAGCGGGUUGGAGGAGCAACGGGUUGGAGGAGCAACGGGAGCAGCGGGUUGGAGGAGCAACGGGUUGGAGGAGCAACGGAUUGGAGGAGCAACGGGUUGGAGGAGCAACGGAUUGGAGGAGCAACGGGUUGGAGGAGCAACGGGUUGGAGGAGCAACGGGUUGGAGGAGCAACGGGUUGGAGGAGCAACGGGAGCAGCGGGUUGGAGGAGCAACAGGUUGGAGGAGCAACGGGUUGGAGGAGCAACGGGUUGGAGGAGCAGCAGGUUGGAGGAGCAGCAGGUUGGAG